rnacentral:misc_RNA from 1 species
GAAAUGCGAUAAGUAAUGUGAAUUGCAGAAUUCAGUGAAUCAUCGAAUCUUUGAACGCACCUUGCGCUCCUUGGUAUUCCUUGGAGCAUGCCUGUUUGAGUAUCAUGAAAUCUUCAAAGUAAAUCUUUUGUUAACUCAAUUGGUUUCUACUUUGGUAUUGGAGGUCUUUGCAGCUUCACACCUGCUCCUCUUUGUUCAUUAGCUGGAUCUCAGUGUUAUGCUUGGUUCCACUCGGCGUGAUAAGUUAUCUAUCGCUGAGGACACUGUAAAAGGUGGCCAAGGUAAAUGGAGAUGAACCGCUUCUAAUAGUCCAUUGACUUGGACAAUACUUUUAUGAUCUGAUCUCAAAUCAGGUAGGACUACCCGCUGAACUUAAGC